UACGGGGGGUGCGAGCGUUGUCCGGAAUCACUGGGCGUAAAGGGCGCGUAGGUGGCUUGAUAAGGCUGUGGUGAAAGCCCGGGGCUCAACCCCGGGUCUGCCGUGGCGACUGUCAGACUGGAGGGCUCGAGAGGCAGACGGAAUUCCGGGUGUAGCGGUGGAAUGCGUAGAGAUCCGGAAGAAGACCGGUGGCGAAGGCGGUCUGCUGGCGAGUACCUGACACUGAGGCGCGAAAGCGUGGGGAGCGAACAGG
rnacentral:rRNA from 1 species